ensembl:lncRNA novel transcript
UUUUCUUUUGGCUGUGUUUUAAAAGGGUCUUGCUCAAAUUUUAAAGGUUGGGGCAUUUUAGAGUCAGAUUUGUUUCAUAAUUUUUCUAUGUAACAUAUUCACUUCCCAUUAAAAUGUAAUUUUCCCUACCAAUAAGGUGUUAGGCUUCUGAUCCCUCAGGGGAACUGUGGUUGACAUGAGCAUUACCUCAUCCAAAUGUAUGUUCCCAGUGAACCUGUCAUCGAGUGGACUUGAUGCCUUCAUUUUUUCCUUUUGUAGCAAGAUGCCUAACUGGUUACUUAUGCAAGCAUUGUUAUUGAAAUUAGGGGGAGUAAGGGGAAUAAAAAAUGUAUGGAAAUUAUGAGUGUUAGAACUGAGCACAAUCAUUGCAGCAUCUGAUGCAGACAUUUCAGGGUAAGCGAAGUAGUCUCUUCAGAAUAAAAAUGAGGGUAAUUAGACUCAAUUCAUUUAUUCAACACUUGGGUCAAGUCCAUGAACUCUACAAAGAUAACUGUGCCAUGGAUUUUGCUCUCUAGAGUGGUAAGACACGUAUAUGGUUUGUCUACUCAUUCAGCAAACACUUUCUGGGCAUGUUUUGUCUCCUGAGGUCAGCUCUGGAGAUACAAUGGUACAUGGCACAAAUCUUUGCAAGUGCUAAAUAUAAUACCUGAUAUUAAUAGGCUGUGAGUGAAGAGCACAAAAUGUGUAGUGGGUGUUCCUGGGAUACAGUAGCUCUGUGCAUGUAGAAGGGAUUAGUAAGGGCCUCGUGAAGGAGACAGCAUUUGUUCUGGGACUUGAAGGAAAGACAGGAUUGGAAAUGUAGAGAUGCUAAGGAAGGUUGUCCUCAAUAGAGAAAAUGCCAUAGCUGAAGGCCCCUCAUAUGCUAUUCUUAUCUAACUAUGUGAUUCUAAGCUCAGGUGAUCCAAAGAGGCUCCUCAGAGUUGUGGCAAACUGAAGCCAGUGGUGUAGGUUGAAAGGAAUCUGAGAGAAGAUCAACACCCAGGAGAAUCUAAGGUCCCAUUGUGGGUGAAUCAUUUUGGGCCAUGUUUCAGAACAAAAUUUCCACAGACUCACUACCAAAUACUCAUGGACUUAUAUUUUUGGUUCAGAGGUUUGAUGAAAAACUCUGGAAGCCUAUUGCAGAGAACUGAAUAAGGUAAAAAUCUACCUUUUACUGGACACAUCGUUUAGGAAGCAAAUUAGUCUCCGUUAUCAGAAAGUUCCAAGGGGGAAUCUAAAAUGUGAUACUUUGCUCAGCAGCUGACAGUAUUUUUGCUACAUUUUCAACUUGCCUUCAAUUCUGUUUAUUUCGCUUGUCUAAUUUACUAUCUAGGUAAUUUAAACAAUGAGAAUACAGUGACCCGCAAUUUUCCUAAUUUAAAGGUAUCUCUUCUGCAAUAUUAAAUUUGCAUCUACAUUGCCUGCCUAACAAGACUGUCACCUCCUUGAGGUCAAUGUGAUGUUAUCUAAUUUUUUAGAUAACAUCUAUGUCUCUAAUAGAUCUAUCUGUGCAAUAGAACCAUACAGUCCUUCGUAGAUAGGGGAAGCACAAAUGUUGGUUAAUAUUUAACAGAGUAUCAGACCUGCAUCCUUCUCUCUAAGAGCUCAAACUUCAGAGAGUAGAUUCAGAGAGUAAAUGUUUUCCCAGGCUCAGGCAAGAGGGGUGGUUUGUAUGUUAUUUCUUUCUUAUUUUCCAGUUAGACUUUUGGAAAUCUGCCAGAUGCAAUUGAAAAACCCUGCUCAGCUUUGUCCAAUGUCUCAUUUGAGGAUCAGCAUGAGUUUGUUUACUUGAGAUUAACAGGAGUCAAGGAUAUACAAAUUCAGCAAUGUAUGGAUAACUUUCCCCUUUUUAACGCUGGCCUCACCACAAAACUACCACCAUAUUGUUGAAUUUUGGAAGUUUAUUAUGCUUUAUUUUUUCCUAUAAAAAAAUAAAUGUCAUCACAUUGUAAUAGUUUUAUAACCUGUUUUAUCAUAUUUUAAAAUACAUCUUGAAUAUUCUUUCAUAUAAUUAAUCUUCUACAGCAUAAUUUUAAUAUCUAUGAAGAUUCCAUUAUGUGCUUGUAUUAUACAUUUUUACUCUGAAUACAUUAUUGUUGUAAACAAUGCUUACAAUUAUGAAAAUAAAUAUAUAUGGCUCAUUU